ACACAAUAUAGAUGACAGAGACAUAUAGAAAGGUCUAGAUAUUGCUUUUGGUAAAAAUGUCCAACAAUAACUUUCUGAAGAAACAAAAAAUAAUUCACAACAGCCAGGACCAAAUUUCCAUUCAUUCUUCACACUUUUCUGCGCGGUGUUGAAAGGAGCAAAAAAUCAGCCCAACCCAGUUAGAACAUUCUGUCAUGAAGUCACAGAGACACAUUCCAAGAGGCAGGAAAAGGUGAUUGCAACGUGCUUUCUCCUCCCCAAAGGCGUAUGUGCCACAAACAUGUCGAUGUUCAAAGAUCGAAACAAGAGCCUGAACAACCUGCUUCCUAAAGUCUAACACCCCUGUCAACAAACAACACACAGAUCCAAGUUAUUGCGAGAGGAACGUGUCUAUUUAUUCACAGGAAAAAUGCCUGCAUCCGUAAGCGAGACCAUCCAUCGCAGCCACUUUACAGAAAACGGGUAAGGGUGGGAAUUGUGCAGAAACUCGACGUUGCACCUGGCCGGUUUCCAGACGCCGCUCCCCGACCGGCUGAGGUCGUUCCCGUGUUGGCCAGGCGGUGGCGCUCGAGGCAAGUGGUGCCGCUCCCGGGUCCCGCGCGCAGCAUCUCCAAGCAGGUGGCUCAGAGAGGGGACUUGACACAGGUUCCGGAACAUCGCGCUGGGGACGAAGCAUCUGGAAGCCGCCAGGUGAGUCUGCGCCGCGGAGGAGACUGGGCCCGGCACACAGAAGCGGCCGGCAGGCGUGGGGCGCCGCCGGGAGCCGCCCGGCCUCGGGAUGCGCGGGCGCCCGGGAUAGAGACCCGCGGCAGGUGCAGCGCGGGCUGGGCGGGAGGCGAGGCAGGUGCCCCGGGGGGGCCCGGGGGGGGCGGGCCAGGGUCCGGCCCAGCGUGCAGGCUGAGUCCCGAAAACCCGAACCCCAGCCUCAUUUGGAUUCAACCUUUCAGCCUGAACCCCGCAGGUCCUUUCAGAUUUAAAAAUUGAUUUUUUAAAGAUUGAAAAACAGCCUUUUCAAGUCCCACUAGUUCUCCUUCCAUAUGCAAACGAAUCCAAGGUGAAUGGUUUUUCCUGGUGUCCUAUUACUGCACAAAAUUACGGUUGGCUUUUCUUUUCUUUUUUUUUUUCCCCCCAAGGGACCAAAAUGUUUUUGAAUACACUCAGCCUCCUCAUACAUCCUUUUUUUUAAAAAAAUAAUAAAUUUAUUUUUUAUUGGUGUUCA
rnacentral:lncRNA from 1 species